rfam:Gossypium raimondii Chr11_contig_597, whole genome shotgun sequence.
GAAUAAAUUUAUUCAUUUAUUUUGUUAAAAUUUGAUGUGGCUAAUAGAAUAAUCAAAUAGUGACACGUGACAUGCCAUAUGUACCUCAUACUACGGAUUAACAAUCAAUUUUUAGUAGUAAAAAUGGAUGAAAAUUUUAACA